rnacentral:rRNA from 1 species
CCUACGGGGGGCAGCAGUGGGGAAUAUUGGACAAUGGGGGGAACCCUGAUCCAGCCAUGCCGCGUGUGUGAAGAAGGUCCUCGGGUUGUAAAGCACUUUCAGUGAGGAAGAACGCCUGGUGGUUAAUACCCAUCAGGAAAGACAUCACUCACAGAAGAAGCACCGGCUAACUCCGUGCCAGCAGCCGCGGUAAUACGGAGGGUGCGAGCGUUAAUCGGAAUUACUGGGCGUAAAGCGCGCGUAGGUGGCUUGAUAAGCCGGUUGUGAAAGCCCCGGGCUCAACCUGGGAACGGCAUCCGGAACUGUCAAGCUAGAGUGCAGGAGAGGAAGGUAGAAUUCCCGGUGUAGCGGUGAAAUGCGUAGAGAUCGGGAGGAAUACCAGUGGCGAAGGCGGCCUUCUGGACUGACACUGACACUGAGGUGCGAAAGCGUGGGUAGCAAACAGGAUUAGAUACCCUAGUAGUC